CCUACGGGAGGCAGCAGUGGGGAAUCUUGCGCAAUGGGCGAAAGCCUGACGCAGCAACGCCGCGUGCGGGAAGAAGGCUUUCGGGCUGUAAACCGCUUUCAGCAGGAACGAAAAUGACGGUACCUGCAGAAGAAGGAGCGGCCAACUAUGUGCCAGCAGCCGCGGUGAUACAUAGGCUUCAAGCGUUGUCCGGAUUUAUUGGGCGUAAAGAGUUCGUAGGCGGUCAAGUAAGUCGGGUGUGAAAAUUCUGGGCUCAACCCAGAGACGCCACCCGAUACUGCUUAACUUGAGUUCGAUAGGGGAGUGGGGAAUUCCUAGUGUAGCGGUGAAAUGCGCAGAUAUUAGGAGGAACACCGGUGGCGAAGGCGCCACUCUGGAUCGAUACUGACGCUGAGGAACGAAAGCAUGGGUAGCAAACAGGAUUAGAUACCCUGGUAGUCCAUGCCGUAAACGGUGGGCACUAGGUGUGGGUUUCUAUUAACGAAAUCCGCGCCGUCGCUAACGCAUUAAGUGCCCCGCCUGGGGAGUACGGUCGCAAGCUAAAACUCAAAGGAUUGACGCUGNGANGCGAGCGACACGAGGAGAG
rnacentral:rRNA from 1 species